rnacentral:rRNA from 1 species
AUUGAACGCUAGCGGGAUGCCUUACACAUGCAAGUCGAACGGCAGCACGGACUUCGGUCUGGUGGCGAGUGGCGAACGGGUGAGUAAUGUAUCGGAACGUGCCCAGUAGCGGGGGAUAACUACUCGAAAGAGUAGCUAAUACCGCAUACGCCCUACGGGGGAAAGGGGGGGAUCGCAAGACCUCUCACUAUUGGAGCGGCCGAUAUCGGAUUAGCGAGUUGGUGGGGUAAAGGCCCACCAAGGCGACGAUCCGUAGCUGGUUUGAGAGGACGACCAGCCACACUGGGACUGAGACACGGCCCAGACUCCUGCGGGAGGCAGCAGUGGGGAAUUUUGGACAAUGGGGGCAACCCUGUUCCAGCCAUCCCGCGUGUGCGAUGAAGGCCUUCGGGUUGUAAAGCACUUUUGGCAGGAAAGAAAUCGCACGGGCUAAUACCUCGUGUGGAUGACGGUACCUGCAGAAUAAGCACCGGCUAACUACGUGCCAGCCGCCGCGGUAA